GAUGAACGCUGGCGGCGUGCCUAAUACAUGCAAGUAGAACGCUGAAGGAGGAGCUUGCUCUUCUGGAUGAGUUGCGAACGGGUGAGUAACGCGUAGGUAACCUGCCUGGUAGCGGGGGAUAACUAUUGGAAACGAUAGCUAAUACCGCAUGACAACAGUUAUUGCAUGAUAACUGUUUAAAAGGGGCAACUGCUCCACUACCAGAUGGACCUGCGUUGUAUUAGCUAGUUGGUGAGGUAACGGCUCACCAAGGCGACGAUACAUAGCCGACCUGAGAGGGUGAUCGGCCACACUGGGACUGAGACACGGCCCAGACGCCUACGGGAGGCAGCAGUAGGGAAUCUUCGGCAAUGGACGGAAGUCUGACCGAGCAACGCCGCGGGAGUGAAGAAGGGUGUCGGAUCGUAAAGCUCUGUUGUAAGAGAAGAACGAGUGUGAGAGUGGAAAGUUCACACUGUGACGGUAUCUUACCAGAAAGGGACGGCUAACUACGUG
rnacentral:rRNA from 1 species